rnacentral:rRNA from 1 species
GGAGGUAGUGACAAUAAAUCUCAAUACGAAGCCUUUGGUUUUGUAAUUGAAUUGAGAACAAUGUACAAUCGUUAUCGAUAAACAAUUGGAGGGCAAGUCUGGUGCCAGCAGCCGCGGUAAUUCCAGCUCCAAUAGCGUAUAUUAACGUUGUUGCAGUUAAAAAGCUCGUAGUUGAAGUUUAGAUAAUUUGUUGAGGGUGUUAGUAUUCGUACUAUCUGCCCUCAAUAGAUUAUCGACUUCCAGGUAAGCUCAAUAAUCCCUCCGGGGACUAUCGAGCCAGACUGGUCUUUUACUGUGAGAAAAUUAGAGUGUUUAAAGCAGACUUUUUUAGUUUGAAUAGAUUAGCAUGGAAUAAUAAGAUUGGCUUUCAUAGUCGAUUUUUUGGUUUGUUUAUGAAAGCAAGAUUAAUAGGGACAGUUGGGGGUAUUCAUAUUCAAUAGCUAGAGGUGAAAUUCUAUGAUUUAUGGAAGAUGAACAAGUGCGAAAGCA